rnacentral:lncRNA from 1 species
CAGCACACAAAUUUAUAUACACUGUGUUAAAUCAAAAAUCGUCUGGCGUCCAGAGAAAAAAAAUGAAUGAUCAAUCAGGAGACGUUCGAGCAUUUUUAAAUAAUCAACACAUAAUCCCUUCCCCUAAAAAACAGCUUCCAUCGGUAAUAUAUAAGCAGAGAGAUAUUUCGUGGGAAAAGUGUGUGAAACAACGUCAUAUAAAUUAAAGGAUUUACAAUACUUCUGUAUCUUGGAAGAAGAAAGAGUUUUUAAACAUGUAUACGGCGGUUUUACUAUCAUUCUGUACAUAUUUCAAAUUCGAAAAUAGAACUACAUUAGAGCCUCAGUAUUUCAAUAACAGUUACAAAUAUAAAAAAAGAUGUGGCAUCAUUGUCAAUGAGACAAGCCUCCACAAGAGACAUAAUAACACAGAAAUUAACAACUAUAGGUCACUGUACGGCCUUCAACAAUGAGCAAAGCCCAUACAGCAGUCAGUUAUAAAAGGCCCCGAAAUGACUAAUGUAAAACAAUUCAAACGAAGAAACUUCUGCACAAAAUUGAACAAAAAACGAAUAUGUAACAUAUCAACAAAGGACAACCACUGAAUAACAAGCUCCUGACUUGGGACAGACACAUGCAUUCAUAUUGUGGCGGGUUUUAAUAUGUUAGUGGGAUCUCAACCCUCCCCUAACCUGGGACAGUGGUGUGACAUCAUAAGAACGAACUAUACAAAUUAGUUGAAAAAGACUUUACUCAUCAGACUGAUAAAUAGAAAUACAUCUAACAUAAACACAGAGUGGACGUGGCCGGGUACUUGUAUAUCCAAACAACAAAAAGACACUAAGUACUGAUCAGAGAGUGUGUACAAAGUUUUGAUUGUCAUAAAAACUUAAAUAUUAUCAAUAAUGAAAUAGGUUACGCUAGGGAACCCUAAGCAUUCUUUUGUUUUCUUAACAUUUGAAUAUUUUCAAUAAAGGCUAUUUUUAUUCACAAUUUUGGUUGUUAUUCAUGCUAUCAGAGGAUUGAUAAAUAAUAUAAAUUUUAGGUUACAGAAAUUAAUCUUCUUUCGGAAAAGUUGCUUACACAGCUACUUUUGCAUAGGUACUAUUUCUGUACCAAAAAUCUGUAGUACUGGAAAUCUACUUUUAAUAUUCAGUACUAUUUUGUUACUUAAAA